CGCAAGGGGAGUGGCAGACGGGUGAGUAACACGUGGGAACGUGCCCAAAGGUACGGAACAACUCCGGGAAACUGGAGCUAAUACCGUAUGUGUCCGUAAGGAGAAAGAUUUAUCGCCUUUGGAUCGGCCCGCGUCGGAUUAGCUAGUUGGUGGGGUAAAAGCCUACCAAGGCGACGAUCCGUAGCUGGUUUGAGAGAACGACCAGCCACACUGGGACUGAGACACGGCCCAGACUCCUACGGGAGGCAGCAGUGGGGAAUAUUGGACAAUGGGCGCAAGCCUGAUCCAGCCAUGCCGCGUGGAUGAUGAAGGCCCUAGGG
rnacentral:rRNA from 1 species